AUUUUGAGGAACCAACUCAGACAAACUCUAGCUGUGUCUAACAGUGUUGGGUGCUCUGCCUUUCCCUGAGUGUCGCGGACCACAGAGGAAGCAUUUUACUUCCUGAACCAAAGUACACACCAUGAAGUUUUAGUAGCAGCACAGGGGAUGAGUUAUGUGCUCUAUUUCAUCUUUGCUGUUGUGGUGGCUGUAAUUUUGUGUCAUUGUUUUCAUGGAUUCUUCAAGAGAUACAGGCAGAACUGUAAAUCAGAUGAAAUCACAGUGGAGGCAGGCAAUGUUGUUAGUCUAGACAACGACACAGAAAACAUUAAGGAUGAUCGGCCAACAUCGUCAGUAGUCGUCAUCAAAGAAGACACCAGUUUUAGGAUGAGCUCGAUGUACCAGAGCCUCAUCAGCGAGAGAGAUUCUAUCUAUGAAUGUCUGGAUCGUGCCGAGAUUAACGCCAGUGACGUUUAUGAGAAUUUUUGAGUGAUGGUAAAAUCAUUGUUAUGCACUGACUCAUAUUGCUUUAUAAAAAAAAUGUAUGCAGCAGCAGGACUAUGAUUAAAUAAGUCAUAACUGAAAA
ensembl:processed_transcript